UUGAAAACAGUAUGGAGAAUCCUCAAAAAAUUAAGAUUAGAACUACCAUAUGCUCCAGCUAUUGUGAGUAAUUAACUGAAGAAUAUGAAAACACUAGUUCAAAAAGUAAUGCAGAAGGUGAAGCUCUGCUAAGAGUGAAGGGAUGAGUGUGGGACGAGGUAGGAAGCGGAAGGUUGAGGAGCACAUGUGUUGAACCCAGGUAUAUUUGAAUCUAGUUGUGCUAUUUUGAGAAAAUUAUUGAAAUUCUCUGAUUCUCAGGUUCCUCACCUCUCAAAUGCAGAUAAUAAUUAAAAUUUAAUUAUGAGGCUGUGUAGUUAACACAACACCUGGCACAUAUACAUGGUAGUCCUUGUUAUUAUUUUGAUGCAUGUAAAAAUUUUGAGGAAAUGCUACUGUAAGGAACAUCCUAGGGAGUCAACAAGAUAUUGACUAAGGGGAAGAAGAGGUUGAGGAAGACGUGACCCACUUUUACCACAUCUCCCAGUGACUGUGAUUUCCCGACUACAUAUACCGGACCAGAGAAGGGAGGGGUGAUAAAGACAACACUAGAGGAGAAGUAAAGGCAAGAAAGAGCUGGAACCCCAGGGUGUGGGUUUGGGUUCACUUAGUGAAGAAGAACCUGACUGCAUGAGCUUGAGACCUUAGGAAAGUUAGCAACCUCUCUGUGCUCAGUUUUAUCAGUUUUAAAAUGAAGUUAAUAGUGGCACUUACCUCAUAGACGUAUUAUGAGAGUUAAAGGCGUUAAUAUUUAUAAAUUUCUUAGAACGAUGCCUGGCGUAUACUAGGCACUUGUACGUGUGUGCUAUAUAAAACAAGACCCAUGGUUAGAGAGUUGAAAAUAAUACCCCAGUCAGCUCUGGGAAAAAAGGAGAGUCAGAGCACUGGAGUCCAGAGCAGGGAGCUGGAACAGAGCAGAGAUGAGGAAGAAUGUGUUGCUAAUUACAGCCACCUGACCACUCCCCUCCCCCAGCUUCCUUAGGAUCCUUCAAGUAAGCGUUUCUUGUGCUUGUACUAGCUAACCAUUCCUCCUCUCCUUCCACCCACUGCUUCCUAGAUCAGUAAGUUGGGGGAGAACCUCCCCAAAUACGGCAGGCACGGAAGGGUGGAUGGAGAUGAUUGCAUCCUGCACUCCUUGGGGUAGAAUGGGUUAUGGCACGUUAUACUGAGUGAAAGGGAGUUAAGAGCAAAGAGGAAGCAAAGACUUGAGCAGCCAGUUUUGUGUCGUUCUCCAUGAGGGUGGAAAGUCCUUUGUCAUGAGUUUUUAAGAAAAGGAACCUACCACCCCACACAACAGUACACUAUUAUCUACUAGAUUUUUCUGCCUUCUUUUUUUUUU